UACGAAGGGUGCAAACGUUGCUCGGAAUCAUUGGGCGUAAAGCGCACGUAGGCGGCUUCGCAAGUCGGAUGUGAAAUCCCGUGGCUCAACCAUGGACGUGCAUCCGAAACUGCGAGGCUUGAGUAUGGAAGAGGGUCGCGGAAUUCCCGGUGUAGAGGUGAAAUUCGUAGAUAUCGGGAGGAACACCAGUGGCGAAGGCGGCGACCUGGGCCAAUACUGACGCUGAGGUGCGAAAGCGUGGGGAGCAAACGGG
rnacentral:rRNA from 1 species